CCUACGGGAGGCAGCAGUGGGGGAUAUUGCACAAUGGGGGGAACCCUGAUGCAGCGACGCCGCGUGGGUGAAGAAGCGCCUCGGCGCGUAAAGCUCUGUCAGCAGGGAAGAAAAUGACGGUACCUGAAGAAGAAGCCCCGGCUAACUACGUGCCAGCAGCCGCGGUAAUACGUAGGGGGCAAGCGUUAUCCGGAUUUACUGGGUGUAAAGGGGGCGCAGACGGCGAUGCAAGUCAGGAGUGAAAGCCCGGGGCUCAACCCCGGGACUGCUCUUGGAACUGCGUGGCUGGAGUGCAGGAGGGGCAGGCGGAAUUCCUGGUGUAGCGGUGAAAUGCGUAGAUAUCAGGAGGAACACCAGUGGCGAAGGCGGCCUGCUGGACCGUAACUGACGUUGAGGCUCGAAAGCGUGGGGAGCAAACAGGAUUAGAUACCCGUGUAGUC
rnacentral:rRNA from 1 species